ensembl:rRNA 5S_rRNA 5S ribosomal RNA
GCUUACGGCCACACCUCCCUGAGCACGCCCGAUCUCGUCUGAUCUCGGAAGCUAAGCAGGGUCGGGCCCGGUUAGUAAUAGGAUGGGAGCCGCCUGGGAAUACCAGGAUGCUGUAAGCC